GGAUGUGAGGGCGAUCUUGCUGCUUCACCCGUCACCCCAUUGGUCACUGGGUGAUGCAGCGAAUCUGUGUGGCCAAGGCUUCUGUCUGCUUCCUCCCUCGCCGCUCCGUGUGCGUCUCUCCUAAACCGCAUGCUCAGUUAGAGACCUUUCCCUGGUAGAGAGAGGACACGUGAGCAGCUGCCCUCCCCUCCAGGGGCCUCCUCCUGGGGCCUCCAAACAAGCUCUCUCCAGAGACCCAUGCAUUGCAGCUGGGAAAGAGCUCAGCUGUGUGCUUCACGAUCAAUUACUGCAAUGCUCUCAUUGCAGAAUUUAAU
ensembl:misc_RNA 7SK 7SK RNA